UCCCUGGUGUAGGUAGUAUUUCUUAAAGCAAGUUUUAUUUGGCUUGUGUGCAGAGCUCUGUCUUCAUAAACUUUUAAUCUCAGAGCUGUCAAACUUCCUUUCACCUGGAGUUUUACAGUAAAUAGAAAAAAAACAAUGACAAAGAUGCUCUUCUGUAGAAAAGUGAGCUUAGAGAAUGUAGUUCAAGGUGAAAAUCUUGUGGUGUCAUUUUAGUAACUAAUCGAAAUUGAUUCAAGGGAAGCUUUCCUGGAUCGCUUCUGAAUCUCUAAAGCCAAAGACUUGAGAAAAUAAUGAAGUACUGCAAACCCAGGAUCUCCCGGAGAGUCCUGAGUGGCCUCUGCAGUACGGGGAGAAAGGAGAGGACAGAGGAAGUGGCGCAGCACUGGAGGCAUGGCUGUGUGGUGCUUGUCGCACAUGCAAGACGUUUGCGUCGCGUUCAGCGCAGAAUAGUUCCUUAGGCAAAUCAGUUCAUUACAAUGUGGUUUUGUUUGUUUGUUUUUCUUCUUCUCAUACUUUGCACAUGAAUGUGAUGUAAGGAAGUGGUGAAACAUCUGGCUUGGUCUUCCAACCUUCUCUGCAGCUGGAUUCCCCAGACUGUCUACAUGGGCUUGCUGUGCUGCUCCCAAACUCAUUGUUGGUUCUCAGGCACCCCAAGUUGCCACCCCUUUAGCCUUCAUUAGCACUCAUUACAAAUCAGUAAUUUUGAGUCUCUCUCCUGUUCGUGUGAUGUCUAGUCUUUGCAUUUUAAAUGUUUGUUUUGAAUGAGUAGGUGAGGGGAAAAUAAUUGUGAAUGCUAAGCAGCAAUAGGCAGAAAUAAUCAGUGGUGUGGUAUCUGUGCCAGGACACUGGGCUUGAUCCUUCUGCCAGUAUUCAUAGAGAAAUGGCAGAAACCAUUUUGAAAAAUGGCUUGUCUGCUUAUUUUAAUUUCUAAGACUCAGAAUUUAGAUUUUUACUCAGGAGAACAUUCAGUGAUACUGCUUUUGCAGCAUCUUUCAUUUUUGCCAGCUGCCAUAGAGUGGGUGGUAAAAAAUGAUGCCUGUGAGGUUACUGAAAUAGGGACCAACCUUUUGACUUCUUUGAAUGGUGACCAGGAAACUUCUGAUGCAUAACACAAGGAGACACCACCAGUUCACAGAAGAGAGAGGAUCAUGUGAUGUGCAGAAUUAGUCUAUUGAGGGAAUGUGGUCCUUCUUUUCUGCUCAUUAAAUGUCUACAAGUAUCUUUUGAUUUCCAUAAAGUAUUUGGCAGACAUGUCCUUGAAUUAAUCCAGGUGGAUUAUUCACGAAUAUCUUUGCUAUGUUGUUUUAUGGUGAUUGGCCAAGUCAAUCACAAAAUGUCCUUUAUCUUGGGUAGAAGAAUAUACUCCUACUUGUAUGAUUAAUUCUGUGUAUGCAAUUUACAAUCCAUAUUUGGUGAAUACUCCUAUGUAUGAUUUUAAGUAAGCUUUUUACAAGUAGUUUUGCCAGUGAAACUCACCUUAAUGUUGUCAAAAAACAAAUGCAAAAAGGUGCAUCAUUUUUUGUGGUUACAUACUUAAGUGUUAUUAGCCCAACGGUACUUCAUCCUUCAUUCUGGGCAGUGAACAGUGUUCAGGUAUUUAGUUUUCAUCAUUUUCUUUAGUAUUUCAUUCAAUUCUAGACAAAACAUGGAAAAGAUCUAGUUUGUUCACAAGUCCUGUAGGCACUCCAGUAUUGCUGCUAAGCUUGUACAGAGUUCAUACGCCAUCACAGUGUGAGAUAGCAGCAUUAGAUAAAUGGACUGGUAGACUGGUAAGGAGCUCGUGUUUGGAGCGGAAGAGGCAGGCAGGCAGGACUCCCAUCUCAGUAGAUAUUCCAGGGAAGGUCAGGAAGGAAGAGGGAUUUUUAUUUCUUCAGUACUACGUGGAUAUUACUGAAAAUGCACUUGGCACUGUUGCAUGCUGGAGGAGAGCCUUGGAGUCUUCUGGGGGCCUGUGAAAAAUACAAUCAGUGCUAUCGUACUGGUUCUGCCUGGUCCCAAGAGUGUAAAAUGUGCAGAUUGGGGAAUAUUUGCUCAUUUUAUUCAUAUAUACUUUUAUAUAUGUAUGUUUAAUUUCUGUCUUGAAUAAGUGAGCAUGUCUGGUGGAUAGAGAAGAGGUAUAAAGGGUGGUAAGGAGAAGAGCAGACUUGGUUGUGGGAAACAUGGGAUAACUGCCCCAAAUUUUUGGAGUAGGCAGAAACACUGAUAGUCAGCAUAUGAACAGUUUUGAAAAAUCCAUUCCAAGUUAUUCCGGGUCUAGGUGAUGGCCAAAGAUCGUACAGCUAAGAAAAGGUGGCAGGGAGGGACAAAGAGCAAGAGGAUGUAGGGUAAGCACUCCUGCUAUCAGAUCUCUUGCCUAGAUGAGUAGUGUGUUAUCUGCGGUCUAUGGGAUGUGCUAAAGGCAAACUAGAGAUUGUGGGCUAGAUAAAAUGUAUACAGAGCGAUUGUUUGUUAGGACAUAUGAUUUAUGAAGUCUUUAAAAUGUUGCAGUAAAAAAGACCACUUACGCUAAGAAAUAAAAACUUGGGCAACCCUCAGAGAGGAGGAAGGAGAAAGCCCAGGAAUGGCAGCGAGAGUCAAGUGUAGUAUGAGAAGAGGAAAGAAAAGAGGAGCUGUGUUGAGCAGAGGGUACAAGGAGUUGCUCAGAAAGGCUCUGGUGGGGAAGUGGGGGUCAAUGAGGAGAAGGGAUGGGCAGGGGAAGAGGUCUGACGAUUAAACCUCGAGGUACAACUGAACGGCCAAGUUCAGGAUGUGAAGAGAAGCUGAGUCUACCCUUGGCUCCUGUAACUGAGUGGUGUCUAAAAUAUCGCAAGUGAUAGCUGGCAAAGAAGUUCAGUGUAGUCGUUUGGUGUUAUUUAGUUAAACUCUGCUUUUGUAGGAGUAUUUUCAAGGUUUCAACCAAGAAUGUAAUCUUUGCACUUGCUAGUAUAAACUCUCCUUGUUUUUCACCCUAAGCAAAUUCAGUAUUUCAAAUACUUGGUCGAGCUGCCUUGGUAAUGCUAGAACAGCCGUGCUUCCUGAGUUUCUCUGAAAACACUGAACAAGGAGGAGGUUGGGGAUCUGAGGCAGGAGCUGUGCUGUUCCCGGCUAAGCUGGACUUAGGGGUGAGAGCCCAAGGGCUGGAUAUCAGCCCGUGCCCAUCGGUCGGGGACCAAGUGCCAGAGACGCCACAGUUUCAGAUAUCCCAAAUUGUUUGAGGAUAGGGCUUGAAUCUCUGACAGCUUUGGGAAGUUUGGCGGCAGGUGACUUCUGGGAAAGGUGCUGAUUGAUGCAUGAAGUGAGGCCACAGAUCUCACCUUGUGAUCUAGCCAAAGAUCCUUUGCCUCUUCCCAUUUCCCACAUCCCUCUUUGUAUUGCUCUCCUUCUGCUGAAAGCAAGCUGCUACGGCACACUCCAGCGCUUCCUCCAGAGCCGGCACUAAAUGCACCACCCUUGUGCCAGGCCAGACGUGCAGUAAGAGCUGCCAGUCCUCACCAGUUCCGCCGCUUCCCAGAGGCCUCCUCCACCAGCAGACCUGAGCGAGCAGAUUAAAGGCAGAAGGGAGCCGGGUCGCUCAGGUGGGACGCCUGCCCGCCGCCUUCCCGGGAGCACAGCCCGUGCCUAAUGCAGUAAUAAUGAAGUACGUGAUUCCCAGGGAGAUCAAACUCGCUUUGAAUGCCAGGAAAGGACCCCGCUAUGCAUUUUAACACAGGAGGACUGGAGCCUCAGCUAUUUACUCUUUCUAAAAAAAGAUUUUGACAAGUGAGUGGCAGAUUUCAAAUCUCCUUCUCGGGAAUAAAUCGAGGCAACUGUUUCUUAGCAUGCCAUAUUUCCAUUUAAUAAAAUGUGCAUGAUCCGCAGCAGCCCUGAAGAUGGGCCAGCAGCGGGGAGCCCCUAGCUCCCAUCUGGGAGGGACGUGUACGCCUGAGGGAUGGGGCACUGCCUUUGCUGGGAUCCCCAGAGGCUCCGUGGGCCCAGGCCUGCAGGACGGUUCACAGGCGCGAGGGAUGGGCCGGGUCUGCUUGGAAGUUCAAGCUCACUGAACUGAGACCUCGGAGAACAAUUCCUCCGGCUGCCACUGCCUUCCUGAGCAGCCCUCUGAAGCUCUCCGUCCUCAGAAACCCCCCACCCUCUCCCCUGCCUCCCUCUCUUAAUACGUUCACAAAUUUUCCUGACAAAAGAGCAAUUACAACCUUAUGGAGACAACUUACAAAGAGAGUGGGGAUGACCCCAAAGAGAGGUUUGCGCUACUCAACACAUGGCCAGUCACCAACAAAGCCAGCCCCGCUCACAUUUGAUCACAGAAGAGCCUCCCAGACUGGCACGCUUGACCAAAAACUGGCUGGGUGACUCAUUCGUCUGGCGGCUCUGUGAUUCAUGAACCUCCAGGAGGAAGGGAGGAGGGAAGUGAAUGCUUUUCAGAUCUGAAGUUAAAUGCGAGAGAAACACAUUCCCCCAAAAGCAGACACUCGACUGUGUCCAAUUGGUGUGUGAAUACCAGGACAAAGCCAGGGCGGGAGCCCUGGUGUGCCACACGGCACGGCUCCGAAGGCGGGCUGCGCUGCAGGUGGCACUUUCCCAAACGCAUGGUUCAGAAGGUCUUGAGUAUAUAAACUGAAAUGGUGCUUUACAUCGUAGCCCUGUGUGCUCCGUCUGUUCCAGCUUUGCAGCUUCCCCAGUGACUUCCCAGUUUGGAUCUGACUCUGAGGGGCUUGACCUGAUAUGGGGGUCAAAAACCUCAACUGACUUAGACUUAAAAUUUAAGCUUCCAAUCAGUGCUGUAAUUUUGGCCUAUCUAUGAAGCAGGCGUGUCAAGGGCAAGCACCCCAUCCUCAGAGAGGUGCCUGCACACGAGGCAGGAUGAGUCCUCCACCAGAGGAACCUCUCUCCGCGUGCUUUGGAAGGACCCCAACCAGCCACCUCCCUCCCAGGUGACCGGGGACACCAGGCCUGCGCGGCCAGGAGCAGCCUUGUCCUCGGUGCGGCCUCGGAAGCUCAGGGUCUGCAUUGAGCUCGCUGAAAUGGCUGUGCUCGUGAGGCUGUAGCAGGGGAUUAUGUUACUUGCUGCCUCAGACAUAUGGGUCAAAACGCUAAAUUAUUUAGCAGCCAUUGCCAGAUGGAUUUUCAAACAAUUAAGAAGCGCUAAAAAUAGGCAGCUCUCUCUGUCUCUUGAAUUUUGCCAGAAAGCGGCUGUUUGCUGUUUGCUCGCCAGCAAUUUAUGCUGAGGGAGCAGCAGAGGCCUCGUGCUCGCCGCAGUCAUUGGGGGCUUCAGCCACGGCUGGGCCCCUGACUGAAUGUAGGCUGCAGUGCAUCGGGAUAAAAGUGCCCUAGGUAGGUGGGUGUUCACGCACAGGAAAGAGUUUAAACUGCUCGGUAUUACUUUUCGCAUCACUGGUAUUGCUGUUGUAAUUCUGGGUGAGAGGUGUGCUUCACACUGCUUCAUUCGGUGGUUGGGUUUCACUGCCCCCCAUCCAUGUUGGGAUGAUGAGGGCAGGAGCCAUUAAAGCUCCGCUGUCAAAGGGGUUUGGGGGGCUUAAAUCUGUGUGAGUACCAAAAUACCUUUAAACUCAGGUUUUAGCUCUUCAUUUCUGUGCUAUGGUAGAUGGAGACACCAAGAGGGGUGUGGAAACCCGCUGUUCGCUUCAACCAGUCAUAUAUGUAGUAAGGCAUUUUGGGAUGUGUAGUUUGACGCCUCCUGAAGCUCCCAGCUCCAUGUCGUCAAGGCAAGAGCAUCCUCUGGCCACACGUCAGGGCUCCACAGUCGGUCUGGCUCAAGGGUGAGACUUUGGCCUCUGAGUCUUUAUUUUUGUGGCACAGAAUGUGCUUUGCCCAGAGUCAAAGGGAGCAUUUCUUUUUUGAGUUGCAGUCACCAUAAAAGCAGGUACUUUGCAUUGAGCCCCAGGUUUGUGAGCCUCCGCUGCCAGCUUAGCUCUGAUGCUCCACUUGGUGCAACCUGCAGCAUGCAGCAGACCCUGGGGAAUAGUGCAGAUGAUGGAGCACAUUUAACUGAGUUUCUGUUUCUAAAAAAUGUUACACUAGGCAAAGGAGUUGGACCUGAAUGAAAGUGGUGGAUCUAAUUUUAGACAGUACCUAUGAAUGAAACUUGAAACGAGCUGUUCAGGAAAUACCUUCCUCUGCGCCAGUGCCAGGGAGAGUAUGUGAUUUAAUGCUAAAUUAGCCAGUGCCUAUGAACAGGUUACUGCAAGAAUAUUUUUCCCUACUUCCAACUAAAUUAUUUAAAAAGAGCAACAUCAUAAUUUCUGCAUGUAUACCCAUGUCCUUUUGCAAAAGCUGCAGCUCUUCUACCUCUGGGGAUCGCGUGCCUCCUCUGCCCUAGUGCCAUCUGUCACCCCUUGAUGCCUGUUUGUCACUGUGGCCCCACACUGAAGAGCUCUUUGCUUCGAUCUGCUGUCUGGGGAUGGCCAAAAGUGAAUGGCAAACACCAGAGGACUUAGAGCAAAUUGAAAGCGUAUCCCAGGGCUCUUGCCCAGAUGAGCAGCCACGUUGGCUUGCAAGAGGCCAGAUCUCUUUCAAAUAUGCUCCAUUAUAUAUUGACCAAACAUUUCUCUUUUCUUAAGAAAGCCAGAAGGGAGUACUGCCCCUUGAGAUUCCAAGCAGGUGUCCUGUCCCUGUCUCUCAGGCCUUUUAUCACACAGCUUUUCAUGCCCUUAAUUUGGGACCCUGGAGACCUAAGGGUUUAGCUGCGAAAUAAAUCAGCAAACUAGCUCCGUACCUUCCUGCACAGUCUUUGCAGCCAAGCACCAAGUUAUAGGCACCUUCCUGCACACGUGGGCUAGGCACAGCAAACACAGCACUUGACCAGAGAAUAAUUUACAGUUAUAACAAGCCAGUGACUCCUAUCUAUCCCCUAACAAGAUUUUUGGCCCUUAGCGAUGGAAGCUGUAGUUAGUAAAAGUGCAGAUACAUUUUGUGAUGCUUAUUUUCCUUUAUCCAGAUAAUCUGGGUCUUGGGUCAAAUCCAUCAUUAACUAACCAAACCUCCCUCAACCCUGUAUUUUAUGAAGUUUCAGUAUGGAAAGGCUUUAAUGAGUUCCUGUUCGUGAUGAAAUUUCCUAUGUUGGAUGCAGCCCUGAACCUCACACUAGUGCUGGCCUAGCAUGGGAUGGUGCUGUUUGACCUGGCCACCUGGAGCUGCACCGUGUGGCUACCAGCUUGUCACAGUGCCUUCCAGUACAGAUUCUCCAGGGAGUACAGGAAGAUACAUUACCUAAGCUUCUCAAUUGACCUCAACAUCGGAGGACCUGCAGAUACAUCUCAGGAAAUGUGGGUGUAAGCUGCCGAGGGUUCAGCUGUUUUGUCAGAAGGCAUCUAAGUGUCCCUGUACGUACAUGAUCCAAGAGACAAUCUCCAUGAUCGAAUGUGCUCCAUGCUGUGGAAAUGAUUUCGAACCAUUGCCAGGGAUGUUAGUUUUAUUUUCACCUUUGUAGACCACUGCUCAUUGGGGACACCUGAAAGAAAAAGGUGAAAAAGAUUUACAAAAGUUGUUUUAUGUCUCUGAUUGCAGUGGCUCAUUAAAGCUAUGAAAUACUGAAAUGCUCCUUCACCCUCACUCAGUAUUUUCUCAGGCAGACAGCCAGGUGGUCACUGUGGUCCUUGCAGAAGCCUUCUGUUGGGAAGAAGCUCAUCCAGCCUGUCAAGGGGAGCAGGAGGGAGCGAGAAACCCGUGCCAGAUAAAAUGGGGCUUAUCAGUUUGUAGCUUUGGAUGGACUGCGAGUGUCAGGAAAUGGGGAGGUGGAGGCUGAGGCCUGACUCCCACCCUUGCAGCCCAGGGCAGCCUUCUUUCUCCUCCUUGGGACAUCUUUAGCAAUCUCUGUUGUCAUGGCCAGGAUCUUACCUAAGAGACAUCUACAUUUCUGGAGCGUGGCCCUAGGGGAAAUGAAGUUCCAAGCCGUUGCACUGCCAGCCUGUGAAGCCGGAGCAGCACAUCCCUCCUGGUGUGCCCUCCCCAGGACCCAAAGCCUAAGGCACUCAGGGGAGCAGAAAGGGGCUUCUCU